UAUUUUAGUCAGUCUGUAGCCUCUGGAGUAUUUCUAGUGUACGGAGUUUGAACUGGACAUGUUUAACCCAGCACUGCCACAGUUAAAGUUCAGUUCAACUACUCACUGUUUAACUCUCUUUGCAGAAAUUAAAAUCGUCACAGUCAUGAAAUAACUGGAUGACAAAUCCAUGGCCCUUGGUGAUGCAACAAGACCUUACUCACUCUGAGUCUCUGACCCUUUCUUCUCUGAUCAGACAGAUCAUGC